rnacentral:rRNA from 1 species
UAAGGAGGAUCCGAGCGUUAUCCGGAUUUAUUGGGUUUAAAGGGUGCGCAGGCGGAAUGUCAAGUCAGCGGUAAAAUUUCGAGGCUCAACCCCGUCGUGCCGUUGAAACUGGCGGGCUGGAGUUGGAGAGAAGUACGCGGAAUGCGCGGUGUAGCGGUGAAAUGCUUAGAUAUCGCGCAGAACCCCGAUUGCGAAGGCAGCGUACCGGCUCCACACUGACGCUGAGGCACGAAAGCGUGGGUAUCGAACAGG